UUCGAUCGGAUCCCAGCUCCCAUCCAGUCAGAUCUUCUUCCAUUGGAUCAGUGCGCAUCUCAGAGUUUUUUUUAUAAGCUAACAGAGGAGUUUAGAGAGCGUUAGCUGAGCUGGCGUGUUCAAAAAAAUACUACAAGAAAAGAGAGUUUUAGCGAUAAAUUUAUUUAUGAUAGAAAAUAUUAAUAUCAUAAAUAAUCAUAUCAAUGAUGUAAAAAAAAUUUUAUCGAUAAUAAAAAAAUAUUUAUGAUGAUUAUAAACUUUC
rnacentral:lncRNA from 1 species